rnacentral:lncRNA from 1 species
UUCAAUAUUUGAUAGUGUAUUAUAAUAAAUAAUGUUAAUAAAUAAAAAUUGCUAAUUAAUGAAACGGAAGUGCUACAAAUAGGUGAAAUAAUAUUUGUAUACUUUUCUCAAAUGAGAAUAAGGAGGGAAAAAAAAGGAAAGUAUGCAAGUAAAAGAUGAUUUUGAUGAUACAUGUACAAAAAUCAUUGAGAAUAACAAUCAUAAAAAUAUCAUUGCAUAAAACUUCGAUGCAACACAGUAUAUGACUCGUCACUCGUCAGUAUUACAUGGUGGAUAUCACCAAGGCAAAAUCAAGACUGUGUCCUAUACCAUGAUCCGGACAAAAUAUGAUGCAUUUGAUACCAACAUUUUUUCUUUGUUCCUUUUCUUUUUACAAAGUAAAUUGUAACGUCGUUCAUCGAGAAUGUAACCCAGACAUUCUCCUAUCA